ACCAAAGUACAUAAUUAAAUAUUACAUCCAAAAUUCAAUUGUUCCUGUACAAGUGUACUAACUUUUUGGCGUUUCAUGAGCGGCUCGUGUGUACAAACAUUUAUUUAAAUGCUUACCCCCACCCCGUAGCCACUUCAGAUGAAGCUGGAGCUGGAGCCGAAUCUGAAGCUUGGAGCUUGAAGUUUGGAGCACGGUGGAGAAUUGCGCGUAAAUUCGUUGCGGUCUGCGCGUCAUCAACGUAAUCGCCGUCAACAGCAGUCAACAGCAUCAAACUGGCAGGCAAAUGUUGCUACUGUUUCCAGACGCAGUCCGUCCGGCCAACAGAAGCAAACGAAGCAACAGAAGCACCAACCGCCGCAGUGAAGUGGUUUUUUAUGAUCAGACGAGAUGAGCCGAGCCCAAAGCAGCACUUUCCAUCCGAGAAAGAAACCGAGGCUACAACAAAAGCGUGUCUUUCGAGUUCGCUAAUGGGAACUACAUAUAUGUAUGUACAUACAUAUGUACAUUCCGGGUACAAAGUGCAUUUUGUGGAAACCCUUUGGGCAGAAUGUAAACCAUUAACAAAUUGUAGCAGACCUAUGGCCUAUACAUUUCUUAUUUGUUUU
ensembl:ncRNA lncRNA:CR45103 long non-coding RNA:CR45103